UCCGUAGGGGUGACCUGCGGAGGGAUCAUUGCUGGAACGCGCCCCAGGCGCACCCAGAAACCCUUUGUGAACUUAUACCUUACUGUUGCCUCGGCGCAUGCCGGCCCCCCCGGGGGCCCCUCGGAGACGAGGAGCAGGCACGCCGGCGGCCAAGUUAACUCUUGUUUUUACACUGAAACUCUGAGAAAAAAACACAAAUGAAUCAAAACUUUCAACAACGGAUCUCUUGGUUCUGGCAUCGAUGAAGAACGCAGCGAAAUGCGAUAAGUAAUGUGAAUUGCAGAAUUCAGUGAAUCAUCGAAUCUUUGAACGCACAUUGCGCCCUCUGGUAUUCCGGAGGGCAUGCCUGUUCGAGCGUCAUUUCAACCCUCAAGCAUUGCUUGGUGUUGGGGCACUGCUUCUUACCCAAGAAGCAGGCCCUGAAAUCUAGUGGCGAGCUCGCCAGGACCCCGAGCGCAGUAGUUAAACCCUCGCUUUGGAAGGCCCUGGCGGUGCCCUGCCGUUAAACCCCCAACUUUUGAAAAUUUGACCUCGGAUCAGGUAGGAAUACCCGCUGAACUUAAGCAUAUCAAAGGC
rnacentral:rRNA from 1 species